rnacentral:RNase_P_RNA from 1 species
GGAGUCGGCCAGACAGCCGCCGUGGUCUUUGCGGGCCGCGGAGGAAAGUCCGGGCUCCAGAGGGCAGGGUGCCAGGUAACGCCUGGGGGGCAUGAGCCCACGGAAAGUGCCACAGAAAACAGACCGCCAAAGCGCCUACGGCGCCGGCAAGGGUGAAAAGGUGCGGUAAGAGCGCACCGCGCGAGUGGCAACGCUUCGCGGCACGGUAAACCCCACUCGGAGCAAGACCAAAUAGGAGGGCAAGCCGUCCUUAGGGAUGGCGGCGCGCGGCCCGCGCGUGUCCUCGGGUAGGUCGCUCGAGGUGUGUGGCGACGCACAUCCCAGAUGAAUGGCUGUCCACGACAGAACCCGGCUUAUCGGCCGACUCCCGUU